GUUGGGUAGGGGAGCGUUCUGUAAGCCUGCGAAGGUGUACUGUGAGGUAUGCUGGAGGUAUCAGAAGUGCGAAUGCUGACAUAAGUAACGAUAAUGCGGGUGAAAAACCCGCACGCCGGAAGACCAAGGGUUCCUGUCCAACGUUAAUCGGGGCAGGGUGAGUCGACCCCUAAGGCGAGGCUGAAAAGCGUAGUCGAUGGGAAACGGGUUAAUAUUCCCGUACUGGUGGUAACUGCGAUGGGGGAACGGAGAAGGCUAGGUUGUCCGGGCGACGGUCGUCCCGGUUCAAGCAGGUAGGCAGAGUGAUUAGGCAAAUCCGGUCACUUAAUGCUGAGAUGUGAUGACGAACCACCAAGGUGGUGAAGCAAUUGAUGCCCCGCUUCCAGGAAAAGCCUCUAAGCUUCAGGUUACCAACAAUCGUACCCCAAACCGACACAGGUGGUCAGGUAGAGAAUACUCAGGCGCUUGAGAGAACUCGGGUGAAGGAACUAGGCAAAAUGGUGCCGUAACUUCGGGAGAAGGCACGCUGGCGGUAGGUAAAGUCCCUCGCGGACAGAGCUGAAGCCAGUCGAAGAUACCAGCUGGCUGCAACUGUUUAUUAAAAACACAGCACUGUGCAAACACGAAAGUGGACGUAUACGGUGUGACGCCUGCCCGGUGCUGGAAGGUUAAUUGAUGGGGUUAGCGCAAGCGAAGCUCCUGAUCGAAGCCCCAGUAAACGGCGGCCGUAACUAUAACGGUCCUAAGGUAGCGAAAUUCCUUGUCGGGUAAGUUCCGACCUGCACGAAUGGCGUAAUGAUGGCCAGGCUGUCUCCACCCGAGACUCAGUGAAAUUGAACUCGCUGUGAAGAUGCAGUGUACCCGCGGCAAGACGGAAAGACCCCGUGAACCUUUACUAUAGCUUGACACUGAACAUUGAGCCUUGAUGUGUAGGAUAGGUGGGAGGCUUUGAAGUGUGGACGCCAGUCUGCAUGGAGCCAACCUUGAAAUACCACCCUUUAACGUUUGAUGUUCUAACCUAGGCCCGUGAUCCGGGUCGGGGACCGUGUCUGGUGGGUAGUUUGACUGGGGCGGUCUCCUCCUAAAGAGUAACGGAGGAGCACGAAGGUUGGCUAAGCAUGGUCGGACAUCAUGCGGUUAGUGCAAAGGCAUAAGCCAGCUUGACUGCGAGAGUGACGGCUCGAGCAGGUACGAAAGUAGGUCUUAGUGAUCCGGUGGUUCUGAAUGGAAGGGCCAUCGCUCAACGGAUAAAAGGUACUCCGGGGAUAACAGGCUGAUACCGCCCAAGAGUUCAUAUCGACGGCGGUGUUUGGCACCUCGAUGUCGGCUCAUCACAUCCUGGGGCUGAAGUAGGUCCCAAGGGUAUGGCUGUUCGCCAUUUAAAGUGGUACGCGAGCUGGGUUUAGAACGUCGUGAGACAGUUCGGUCCCUAUCUGCCGUGGGCGUUGGAAGAUUGAGAGGGGUUGCUCCUAGUACGAGAGGACCGGAGUGAACGCACCACUGGUGUUCGGGUUGUCAUGCCAAUGGCAUUGCCCGGUAGCUAAGUGCGGAAGAGAUAACCGCUGAAAGCAUCUAAGCGGGAAACUUGCCUCGAGAUGAGUCUUCCCUGUCGCUUAAAGCGACCUAAAGGAACGUUUAAGACGAAGACGUUGAUAGGCUGGAUGUGUAAGCGUAGCGAUACGUUGAGCUAACCAGUACUAAUGAACCGUGAGGCUUAACCUGACAACACCGAAGGUGUUU
rnacentral:rRNA from 1 species